AUGGUAGUCUACGUAGUUCCGGAGACAUGGAGGUCGCGGAAAGGUUACAGGUCGGAGAAACUUUGGGUGCUCGCGGCGGAGUUUUGCGAGCUGUGGAGGUUGUUGUUUGCGGCAGAUCUGCUGCAUUUGUUGGGUCGCGGCGGAAACUUAUGGGUUCGCGAUGGUGUGGUCGUCGGGUUCAAUUCCUCGGAGUCGUGUCUGAUUUUCUUUGUUCUUCUUCUCCUUUGA